rnacentral:rRNA from 1 species
GGGCCCGCACAAGCGGUGGAGCAUGUGGUUUAAUUCGAUGAUACGCGAGGAACCUUACCAGGGCUUAAAUGGGAGAUGACAGGGGCAGAGACGCCCUUUUCUUCGGACAUCUUUCAAGGUGCUGCAUGGUUGUCGUCAGCUCGUGCCGUGAGGUGUCAGGUUAAGUCCUAUAACGAGCGCAACCCCUACCGUUAGUUGCCAGCGAUUCAAGUCGGGGACUCUAACGGGACUGCCGGUGCAAACCGUGAGGAAGGUGGGGACGACGUCAAAUCAUCACGGCCCUUACGUCCUGGCUACACACGUGCUACAAUGGUCGGUACAGAGGGAAGCUACCCCGUAAGGGUGAGCUAA